GCAUAAUUUAAUUGGGUGACAUAA
rnacentral:siRNA from 1 species